rnacentral:lncRNA from 1 species
GUGGUUGUCUGCAGGCAGGAGUUCUUCUGCAUGUGUCUGAGAUAUUUACCCUCCUGUACAAACUCUGAUGCCAGCACGUCUUCAUCCUUCAAGACAAUGGUGAAGGAUGACAAAAAGAGAAAGGAAUGCUCAAAAUCCAAGUGCCUAAAUAAGUUUUCUGGGGAACACCACAAAGGCUCUAUUGCACUAUACGCAGCAGAGAUGAAAGGGAUGUGUGCCCACCUGUACCCAAAAAUAUUAUGGACUUUUCUGCAGGUCACUUGCUGACAUUAAAAGAAAAUAAUAAUAAUAAAUAAAAAUAUUCAAUGGUACA